rnacentral:rRNA from 1 species
AUUGAACGCUGGCGGCAUGCCUUACACAUGCAAGUCGAACGGCAGCACGGGAGCAAUCCUGGUGGCGAGUGGCGAACGGGUGAGUAAUAUAUCGGAACGUGCCCAGUCGUGGGGGAUAACGUAGCGAAAGCUACGCUAAUACCGCAUACGAUCUACGGAUGAAAGCGGGGGAUCGCAAGACCUCGCGCGAUUGGAGCGGCCGAUAUCAGAUUAGGUAGUUGGUGGGGUAAAGGCCCACCAAGCCAACGAUCUGUAGCUGGUCUGAGAGGACGACCAGCCACACUGGAACUGAGACACGGCCCAGACUCCUACGGGAGGCAGCAGUGGGGAAUUUUGGACAAUGGGGGCAACCCUGAUCCAGCCAUGCCGCGUGAGUGAAGAAGGCCUUCGGGUUGUAAAGCUCUUUCGGCCGGGAAGAAAUCGUAUGGGUUAAUACCCUGUGCGGAUGACGGUACCGGCAUAAGAAGCACCGGCUAACUACGUG